rnacentral:rRNA from 1 species
AAAGGAAUAGACGGGGGCCCGCACAAGCGGUGGAGCACGUGGUUUAAUUCGAUGCAAACCGAAGAACCUUACCUGGGUUUGACAUACAAGUGGUAGAGAAGCGAAAGUGGAUCGACUUUAGUAGCAAUACUAGAGAGCUUGAACAGGUGCUGCAUGGUUGUCGUCAGCUCGUGUCGUGAGAUGUUGGGUCAAGUCCCGCAACGAGCGCAACCCCUAUAGCCAGUUGCUAACAGGAGAGCUGAGCACUCUGGCGAGACUGCCGCCGACAAGGCGGAGGAAGGUGGGGACGACGUCAAAUCAUCAUGGCCUUUAUGCCCAGGGCGACACACGUGCUACAAUGGCCGACACAGACGGCAGCUUACUCGCGAGAGUUGGCGAAUCCUCAAAAGUCGGUCCCAGUUCGGACUGCAGUCUGCAACUCGACUGCACGAAGCCGGAAUCGCUAGUAAUCGCAGAUCAGCCAAGCUGCGGUGAAUACGUUCCCGGGCCUUGUACACACCGCCCGU